AAGAACAUCCUCACAUCAUCUAGCACAGCAUAUUCCACAUGGAGAUAACACUGUUACUGGUCCUCAUUAUGACAACAGACAUUGUGGCUGAUCACAUUACUCCUGCCAACUCCAACAUAAAAAAUCUGGAAGGAGAUAGUGGAAAGUUGCAGUGUUCAUAUGACACUAUCAGUGACUAUGUUUACCUUUACUGGUAUAAGCAGUAUCCAAAUGAAGCACCUCAGUAUAUACUAUGCAAAGGAGCCAGAUCUAGCAGUCGUUAUAGUGAUAUCCCUGACACUCGGUUUGAUUCCACAACAUCCAGAGCAUCUACUGAGCUCAUCAUUAAAGUUCUGUCUGUGGCAGACACAGCUCUCUACUACUGUGCCCUGAGGACCCCAGUGAUACAAACUCACUGA